rnacentral:lncRNA from 1 species
UUGACUCUUCUAAAAAUACAGUUGCAUGUCUUUGGUCUGUAGAACAAAGAUGAACUGUUAAUGAAUAUCUUUGGCUCGUAGUGCAAAGAUGAAUUUAUUAGUAUGAUUAUGAACAAGAACUGUGAUUUGGUAUAACCAUGAUCUUUGAUGUUUCAGGUAAAGACAGGUGAUGAAAAUUAUCUUCGUCCUGGGUGCGAAGAGGAAUUUAGAAUCAUAAUUAUGAUUAUGAAUAAUUGUGGACAUGAACUGUUGAUUGAUGUUACAGGGAUAAAACAUUGUUGGAGGACUUUUAACAUGGAGAAGAUAAUAGACUUUAUGGUUUAUUUGACUCUUCUAAUGGAUUGCUCGUUCCGCUGCAACUAUGGUUGAAAUUUUUUAUGAUCUACCAUAUGUUCUAAAUCUCUGAUUUAUUACUGAUGACGGCUAUUGAUAAUUUAAUUAUCUUUAGUCAUGAUAUUCUUUAUUGGGCUAGUUGUGCUCACCCUUUUACUUCACAAUUCCUUUCAGGUAAUAAGAGUGUAGUUGGGUCGAGCGGGGAUAACAUGGGAAUAGUGUG